rnacentral:rRNA from 1 species
GUGGGGAAUCUUCCGCAAUGGACGAAAGUCUGACGGAGCAACGCCGCGUGAGUGAAGAAGGUUUUCGGAUCGUACAGCUCUUUCGUUAGGGACGAACGUGCUCUUUGUGAAUAAUGAGGAGUAAUGACGGUACCUAAAUAAGAAGCCACGGCUAACUACGUGCCAGCAGCCGCGGUAAUACGUAGGUGGCAAGCGUUGUCCGGAAUUAUUGGGCGUAAAGCGCGCGCAGGCGGGAUAUCAAGUCUGUCUUAAAAGUGCGAGGCUCAACCUCGUGAGGGGACAGAAACUGUUAUUCUUGAGUGUCGGAGAGGAAAGUGGAAUUCCAAGUGUAGCGGUGAAAUGCGUAGAGAUUUGGAAGAACACCAGUGGCGAAGGCGACUUUCUGGACGAUGUCUGACGCUGAGGCGCGAAAGCUAGGGGAGCGAACGGGAUUAGAUACCCUGGUAGUCC